GAACGCAGCGAAAUGCGAUAAGUAAUGUGAAUUGCAGAAUUCAGUGAAUCAUCGAAUCUUUGAACGCACCUUGCGCUCCUUAGUAUUCUGAGGAGCAUGCCUGUUUGAGUGUCAU
rnacentral:rRNA from 1 species